rnacentral:rRNA from 1 species
AGUGAACGCUGGCGGUAGGCCUAACACAUGCAAGUCGAACGGCAGCACAGGAGAGCUUGCUCCCGGGGUGGCGAGUGGCGGACGGGUGAGGAAUACAUCGGAAUCUACGCUGUCGUGGGGGAUAACGUAGGGAAACUUACGCUAAUACCGCAUACGACCUACGGGUGAAAGCAGGGGACCUUCGGGCCUUGCGCGAUUGAAUGAGCCGAUGUCGGAUUAGCUAGUUGGCGGGGUAAAGGCCCACCAAGGCGACGAUCCGUAGCUGGUCUGAGAGGAUGAUCAGCCACACUGGAACUGAGACACGGUCCAGACUCCUACGGGAGGCAGCAGUGGGGAAUAUUGGACAAUGGGCGCAAGCCUGAUCCAGCCAUACCGCGUGGAUGAAGAAGGCCUUCGGGUUGUAAAGCCCUUUUGUUGGGAAAGAAAUCCAGCUGGCUAAUACCCGGGUGGGAUGACGGUACCCAAAGAAUAAGCACCGGCUAACUUCGUGCCAGCCGCCGCUGUAA